UACGGAGGGUGCAAACGUUGCUCGGAAUCAUUGGGCGUAAAGCGCACGUAGGCGGCCUGACAAGUCGGGUGUGAAAGCCCUGGGCUCAACCCAGGAAGUGCACUCGAAACUGCCAGGCUUGAAUAUGGAAGAGGGUCGCGGAAUUCCUGGUGUAGCGGUGAAAUGCGCAGAUAUCAGGAGGAACACCGAUGGCGAAGGCAGGUCUCUGGGCCACUACUGACGCUGAGAAGCGAAAGCAUGGGGAGCGAACAGG
rnacentral:rRNA from 1 species